rnacentral:rRNA from 1 species
CCCUUAGAUGUUCUGGGCCGCACGCGUGCUACACUGACGAAGUCAGCGAGCAUGUCCUACGCCGACAGGUGCGGGGAAUCUUGUCAAACUUCGUCGUGAUGGGGAUUGAUUAUUGAAAUUCUUGAUCAUCAACGAGGAAUUCCUAGUAAGCGCAAGUCAGCAGCUUGCGUUGAUUACGUCCCUGCCCUUUGUACACACCGCCCGUCGCUACUACCGAUUGAAUGGUUUAGUGAGAUCUUCGGAUUGGCGCCACUGCGGCUCAGCAAUGGGCUCGGUGGAUGCCGAAAAGUUGAUCAAACUUGAUCAUUUAGAGGAAGUAAAAGUCGUAACA